GAUGCGGUGGUCUAGCGGUUAGAACGCUGGCCUUGUAAUCCUGGGGUCUCGGGUUCGAUUCCCGGCGGUGCCC
rnacentral:tRNA from 1 species